rnacentral:rRNA from 1 species
UACGAAGGGGGCUAGCGUUGUUCGGAAUUACUGGGCGUAAAGGGCGCGUAGGCGGUCUUACAAGUUAGGUGUGAAAUUCCUGGGCUCAACCCGGGGGCUGCACUUAAGACUGUAAGGCUUGAAUUCGGGAGAGGAUAGUGGAAUUCCCAGUGUAGAGGUGAAAUUCGUAGAUAUUGGGAAGAACACCAGUGGCGAAGGCGGCUAUCUGGACCGACAUUGACGCUGAGGCGCGAAAGCGUGGGGAGCAAACAGG